rnacentral:snoRNA from 1 species
GGCCUCUUUGUGCUUACCACACGCAGUGUUCUUACACGGCCCUGCAUAGAAAAGGGGAUGCAGAGAAAGCCUACCCCACAUAGACCCUCAGCCCAGGCCCUUUUGCCUGGCUUAUAGUAAUGAACAAGACGACUUGG